GGAGCAGCGGUAGUAGUAGUAGUAGUUGGCUCACAUCCGCGGUCCGGACGCGCACGAUGCGAUCGAAACACAUCAAAGUCGGGCGCGCUAUCACCCCGCGGUAGAAAAAAAAAAACCAAUCGAAAUAACUACACUGCAAAUCCGACAUCUACGGGACAACUGCAUAAUAAUUAUAAUUAUAUUAUUAAAUAUAUUUUCGUUAGCCCAAGACGGCUUGNCCGGUUUUAAAUAAUAUCAUAAUAUUGUGACAGUUAAAAAAACCGUCGCGAGUUUUACCGCCACCGCCGCCGAGAUAUGCGCCUGGUGCGGAUGACGUCGGACCACAGCAAGAAGAGGCGCCGCGGCCCGUCUUCGGCGGACCAGCACGGCGCGGCCACAGCCUCGUCAUCGUCGUCGUCGUCCUCGCCACCGUCCGAAGACCUGUGGUGGACCGAGGCCGCCGUCAACGAGGUAACCGCCGAGCACCCGGGCGAGCUGGUCCGCACCGGGUGCCCGUACAUGCUGUGCAGUGCCCUGCCUACGCACUGGCGGUCAAAUAAGACGCUGCCCGGUGCAUUCAAGGUGGUCAUACUGUCCGAGGUACCGGAUGGCACAGCCGUCACGCUCAAGGCCGGCAACGACGAGAACUGUUCGGCCGAGCUGCGCAACUGUUCCGCCCUGGUCAAGAACCAAAUUGCCAAGUUCAACGAUUUGAGGUUCGUCGGACGCAGCGGACGAGGGAAAAGUUUUACGAUCACAAUUACCGUUUCGACGUGUCCACCUCAAGUAGCGACGUAUAAUAAAGCAAUCAAAGUUACCGUAGAUGGACCUCGAGAACCACGAUCCAAAUCUCUGCACCAAGGUCCACCUCAUCAGUUUCGUGGAUUGGGCCUCGGCCAGAGGCCCUUUAUGGAAAAUGCAUCGUUUUCUAAUCAUUUACGGGAGUUGGAUACAUAUCGCCGAGUGAAGACCGAAGAAUCACCCAUCCUCGAGCAGUCGUAUCGGUCAACGAAUAACCAAGACGAACAUUCCGACUUACCCGUCGGCGUGCCCGAGUCAAGUAACUGGUGCAGUGGUUAUUCGACGUCGGCGUAUUCACCAAAUGCAGCGGCGCCACUCGGAGGAGCUGCAUACGCCUCGUAUCCCGANACCACCGGACCGGCCGCGGCCAUGACGAUGGACGCUCCCUCGGCCAUGUACGGAAGCGGCCAUCCGGAAGUACAGCAAAACAACCACAUGGCAGACUUUUGCGGUACACACCAACAACAUCAACACCACCACCAUCAUCAACAACAACAGCACCAGCAACACGAGCACCAACAGCAACAUCAACAGGAGCUCUUAAAACCAGCGCUCCAUCAGCAGAAUUUGGAUACAGGCGUUGGCAGUGGCUAUUACCCGUCGUCUUGGCCGACCGUGGAACCCCACCAUCACCAUCAUCCGUCGUCGUACCAUCAUCACCAUCACCACCCAGCAGCGGUCACGUACCAGUACAACACGGCAGUGGUACCACCGCCACCGCCGCCGCCUCCACCGCACCACCCGGUACAGAUGACCGCCGAACCACCGCCCGUGCCACCGCCCACCACUAUGGUGCUAUACCCGCACCUAUACUCGACGGUGAAUCAGAAUCAGAUACACCUGCAUCUGCACGCACCGUCGUCUGCGGCCGAACAUCAACUGCAGCAAUUGCACAUAAACAACAACAACAACAACAACAACAACAGCAUCAAGGACCCGUCCGCUGUCGAACACCACCAGUACGUCGUGGACGACGUGGCCGCGUUGGCCGCGGUCGCAGUUGCAGGCAAUCCUGCCGCGCAGUUAGCUAUCAGCGCGGCCGGCAGCGGUGGAGCGAACGCGCGUGGCAUCGAAAUCGGACUGUUACCGCCACCUCCCGCCGUAUCGCUCGACGAACACCAUCAGGCGAGUGACAUCAUAUCCAUCGGCGGCCGGUACAGCGACCGACAGCAGCAGCAGCAACAGCAUACCGACUUGGCCGUCUGGAGGCCCUACUGAUCGGCUGCUUCGCCACUUAUUAAUCAUCAUCAUUUUUUGAUUACUAUUUCAGAGGACUACCAUGCGACGGUAACACUGGUCGCCACUUAAACCGUAUAAAGCGCAACACUCGGCACAAAUCUGUAGCGCCGUAGGGCCUUUUAUGAAUUAUUAUUNUAUCAUAUUAUUGAUUGUUUUUUCAUAUUGUUUUACAGUGAUGGCGUUAAAACUAUUAUUAUUAUUUCAUUUUUAAUUUAUUUUCGUCAUUCUAUAUGAUACUUACAACUGACAACGGUAUAGUGGUUAGAGGGCGGGUAACCCGAGCAGAGUAGCAUUUUAUUUUGUUAACGUGAUUUGCGAUGAGACUAUUGUCUCAUGGUCUAUAGUUGUCAUAUCGAUUCGAUAAGAAUAAAAAAAAAUAGUGUCGGGGAGAAUGAUUUACUUAUUUAGAGUUAUUACUAUUUUAAAGUGAUGGUGACCGUAUAGCUUUGCGGUAUAAACAAUGAAAACUGUCACAACAAUCCCGGGCUCAUAGGAAAACUUAUUCUUAUAGCUGGUAGAUACUUACAUUAUUANCUUUGACCGUUGUUUUAACAUAUUUCUCAAUCUUUCGUCUAUUAGGUAUAUGAAUAUUAUAUUAUAUUAGCGCCAAAAAUUCAAAAUAAAAUGAUUGUGAAAUUAAUAUCAUAAGAUUNAACUCAGAUUAAUUCCUAACCGAGGUAUAAUGAGAAGAUCUUCCACUGCNGAGCGUCGUACCUAAAAAACGGUUCAAGAACGAUUACAAACCAAUACACCAUUAGCCGAUAAUAAUAUUAUCAUCGUAUUAAGUAUUAUUAGGUCGAACGCUGAAAUGGUUUCGAAAUUCGUCGUUCGCCUUUCUCAUUCGUCCAUCGACGUGCGUUUAACUACUAUUCCUCAACGCACGCAUUCCGGCGUAUCUCAUCGUUUUNUUUUCCUUAUAUGUAUAUUAUCAUUAUAUUGUAAACCUACUAUUAAUAUUAUAAUAUUAUUUACGUUUUGUACACACACGUGUCCUGCGAGUGUAAAUAAUAUUAACUUAGAAAAUCAAAAUUAUCA
rnacentral:misc_RNA from 1 species